AGUGAACGCUGGCGGUAGGCCUAACACAUGCAAGUCGAACGGCAGCACAGUAAGAGCUUGCUCUUACGGGUGGCGAGUGGCGGACGGGUGAGGAAUACAUCGGAAUCUACUUUUUCGUGGGGGAUAACGUAGGGAAACUUACGCUAAUACCGCAUACGACCUACGGGUGAAAGCAGGGGAUCUUCGGACCUUGCGCGAUUGAAUGAGCCGAUGUCGGACUAGCUAGUUGGCGGGGUAAAGGCCCACCAAGGCGACGAUCCGUAGCUGGUCUGAGAGGAUGAUCAGCCACACUGGAACUGAGACACGGUCCAGACUCCUACGGGAGGCAGCAGUGGGGAAUAUUGGACAAUGGGCGCAAGCCUGAUCCAGCCAUACCGCGUGGGCGAAGAAGGCCUUCGGGUUGUAAAGCCCUUUUGUUGGGAAAGAAAAGCAGCAGGUUAAUACCCCGCUGUUCUGACGGUACCCAAAGAAUAAGCACCGGCUAACUUCGUG
rnacentral:rRNA from 1 species